UGAUGAUGGUGAGGGCAAUUUCUGAGCAUACUUUUAAAUCUCUCCCAAUGUUGGUAGAUAUUCUCUCCUUCUUUCUGUCAAAAAUUCAAAAUCUCACUUCUUAACAU
rfam:Capsicum annuum cultivar Zunla-1 chromosome 2, whole genome shotgun sequence